UGGGGAAAGGAGUAGUACACCGUGAACCAGUACGUACGCAUGGAGGUGGCCCCGCCGCCUUAAACUGCCAUCAAUUUAUUAAAUUGUAUUGGCGGCCUCCUGCACAAAAUUGUUAUAUUUGUGUCAGAAAAGUUACUAUUACAGAGAGCUGGGUUUAAAAGAGAAAACUUUUGACGGUGGAUCUCUUGGCUCGUGCAUCGAUGAAGAACGCAGCCAGGUGCGAUAAGUAGUGUGAAUUGCAGAAUUCAGUGAAUCAUCGAAUCUUUGAACGCAAAUGGCGCUCCUGGGUCUUCCCAGGAGCAUGUCUGUCUGAGUGUCGGUUCCAAAAACAUAUCGUGCUCCAUUGCGAACACGGCGUUGGGGCGUCACGACUUGACUUGUCAGGAGUCGUGUCCCCUGAAAGACAGCGGUGAGAACUCGGGGUGCGGCCAAACUGUAUGUUGUUAACCGCACUGCUGCGUGAACUGUUUCAUGACAACUGCCCCACAAACCGAGAAGGGUUCUUAUCCGAGAGACACAUUGACAAUUGAAAAUUGACCUCAGAUCAGGCAAGACUACCCGCUGAAUUUAAGCAUAUCAA
rnacentral:rRNA from 1 species